ACGGAGAGUUUGAUCCUGGCUCAGGAUGAACGCUAGCGGCAGGCUUAACACAUGCAAGUCGAACGAGAAGCUACCUUCGGGUAGUGGAAAGUGGCAGACGGGUGAGUAACGCGUGGGAAUAUACCUAGAGGUACGGAACAACGCCGGGAAACUGGUGCUAAUACCGUAUGUGCCCUUCGGGGGAAAGAUUUAUCGCCUUUAGAUUAGCCCGCGUUAGAUUAGCUUGUUGGUGAGGUAAAAGCUCACCAAGGCGACGAUCUAUAGCUGGUCUGAGAGGAUGAUCAGCCACACUGGAACUGAGACACGGUCCAGACUCCUACGGGAGGCAGCAGU
rnacentral:rRNA from 1 species